rnacentral:other from 1 species
AUUACCCUGCGAAGCCCGAUAACUGCGGACGAUAUUAACCCAACACACUAUUAAAGGGAGCUUUUUCUCGAUUUCAUUGGGAGCAGACCUCCCGUCAUUCGACGGAAGAAGGGAGCACAGAUAUGAACGGAGAGCACCCACCUGCUUAACAUGCAGGUUAGUAUUCACCGCAACCGACUUUGCGGGGCACCU